GACAGAGGCCUCGAGCGUUAGGCGGAAUCACUGGGCUUAAAGCGUGUGUAGGCGGAUCGUUAAGUACCUUGUGAAAUCCCACGGCUCAACCGUGGAACGGCUGGGUAUACUGGCGGUCUUGGGCCAUUCAGGGGCGACUGGAACAAGCGGUGGAGCGGUGAAAUGCGUAGAUAUCGCUUGGAACGCCGAAGGUGGAAACAGGUCGCUGGGGAUGUGCCGACGCUGAGACACGAAAGCCAGGGGAGCAAACAGG
rnacentral:rRNA from 1 species